rnacentral:rRNA from 1 species
AUUGAACGCUGGCGGCAUGCCUUACACAUGCAAGUCGAACGGCAGCACGGGAGCAAUCCUGGUGGCGAGCGGCGAACGGGUGAGUAAAGUAUCGGAACGUGCCCAGUCGUGGGGGAUAACGUAGCGAAAGUUACGCUAAUACCGCAUACGAUCUAUGGAUGAAAGCGGGGGAUCGCAAGACCUCGCACGAUUGGAGCGGCCGAUAUCAGAUUAGGUAGUUGGUGGGGUAAAGGCUCACCAAGCCGACGAUCUGUAGCUGGUCUGAGAGGACGACCAGCCAAACUGGGACUGAGACACGGCCCAGACUCCUACGGGAGGCAGCAGUGGGGAAUUUUGGACAAUGGGCGAAAGCCUGAUCCAGCCAUGCCGCGUGCAGGAUGAAGGCCUUCGGGUUGUAAACUGCUUUUGUACGGAACGAAAAGGUUUGGCCUAAUAAGCUGAGCUCAUGACGGUACCGUAAGAAUAAGCACCGGCUAACUACGUGCCAGCCGCCGCAGUAA